rnacentral:rRNA from 1 species
UAAGUUAUACUGCAAAGAAGUUGUAUUUAAUUUUUAAUAUUUUACCUUUUGCAUAAUGGUUUAAUAAUAUAAUGUAUAAAUUUUGCAUCCCGAAAUUAGAAGAUCUAAUAUUAUUAAUUUUUUAGAACUAAUUGUAUAAUGUUUCAAAAUUAUAUUAAUAAAUAAUAUUAGGGGUGAAAGGCUUAACAAUUCUAAUGAUAUCUGGAAUAACUUUAAAUGUAUUUAGUACAGAAUAAAAUUUGAGUAAAAAAAUGUUAAGAUUUUUUUUAUUUAUAGAAUAAUAUAUUGAAAUAUUUAUAUGAAAUAAACUUCCAAUAUUUAUAUUAAUAUAUAAUUUAUUAUUUUAUAUAUCUAAUUAAUAAAGUUACAUCGCAUUUAAACUAAAAUUUUAAAUUAAUUAUGUUAAAAUUAGUAUAAUAAUUUUAUUUAAUUAAGGAACUCGGCUAACCAUUAUUUACCUGUUUAUCAAAAACAUAGUCUUAUGAAAUAUAUAUAAGGUGAAACCUGCCCACUGAUAUUAAUUAAAUGGCCGCAGUACCUUGACUGUGCUAAGGUAGCAUAAUAAAUUGACUUUUAAUUGGAGCCUUGAAUGAAUGGAACCAUAAAUAAUCUCUGUCUCAAUUAAACACUUACAAGUUACUUAAAAGGUGAAAAUUCCUUUAAUAUAUAAAAUAGACGAGAAGACCCUAGGAGUUUUAAUUUUUGUUGGGGCGACAAUAUAGCAUAUAACCUAUAUAGUAGAUAAUUUAUAAAACGAAUAAAUUUUAAUACUAAAUAAGCUACCCUAGGGAUAACAGCAUAAUUUAAUUUAAGUUUGUGACCUCGAUGUUGGACUAGGAACUUUUAAUAUUAACAAUAUUAAC